GGACCAUAGCUCAGUGGUAGAGCGCAUGUUUUGCAUGCAAAAGGUGCUAUGUUCAAUUCCCAGCAUCUCCU